rnacentral:rRNA from 1 species
GUCCAUGGCCAUGCCACUCUGAACAAGCCGGAUCCUGUCUGAUCUUGGAAGCUAGGCAGGGUUGGUCCUGGUUAGUACUUGGAUGAGAGACCACCUAGAAAGACCAUGUGCUGUAGGCG